GGGGAAUAUUGCACAAUGGGCGCAAGCCUGAUGCAGCAACGCCGCGUGAGGGAAGACGGUUUUCGGAUUGUAAACCUUUGUCUUUGGUGAAGAAGAAAGUGACGGUAACCACGGAGGAAGCCACGGCUAACUACGUGCCAGCAGCCGCGGUAAUACGUAGGUGGCAAGCGUUGUCCGGAAUUACUGGGUGUAAAGGGAGCGCAGGCGGGACUGCAAGUUGGAUGUGAAAUACCGAGGCUCAACCUCGGAGCUGCAUCCAAAACUGUAGUUCUUGAGUGAAGUAGAGGUAGGCGGAAUUCCGAGUGUAGCGGUGAAAUGCGUAGAUAUUCGGAGGAACACCAGUGGCGAAGGCGGCCUACUGGGCUUUAACUGACGCUGAGGCACGAAGGCCAGGGGAGCGAAAGGG
rnacentral:rRNA from 1 species